GUGGCUCAGUGGUUAAGAGCACUGACUGCUCUUUCAGAGAGCCUGGGUUCAUUUCCCAGC
rnacentral:tRNA from 1 species